AUAAUACUCCCUCCGUUUCAUAAUUCUUGUCGAAAUAUUACAUGUGUCUAGACGUUUUUUACGAAUAGAUAUAUCUGUUUUUGAACAAAUUUGAGACAAGAAUUAUGAAACGGAGGUAGUACUAC
rnacentral:pre_miRNA from 1 species